UUCGGAUUGCAGGCUGCAACUCGCCUGCAUGAAGUCGGAAUUGCUAGUAAUCGCGGAUCAGCAUGCCGCGGUGAAUACGUUCCCGGGUCUUGUACACACCGCCCGUCACACCACGAGAGUUUACAACACCCGAAGUCGGUGGGGUAACCCGCAAGGGGGCCAGCCGCCGAAGGUGGGGUAGAUGAUUGGGGUGAAGUCGUAACAAGGUAGCCGUAUCGGAAGGUGCGGCUGGAUCACCUCCUUUCUAUGGAGA
rnacentral:rRNA from 2 species